rnacentral:rRNA from 1 species
UACAGAGGUCACAAGCGUUGUUCGGAUUCAUUGGGCGUAAAGCGCGCGUAGGCGGACCUGCAAGUCGGGGGUGAAAGCCCGAGGCUCAACCUCGGAACUGCCUUCGAUACUGCGGGUCUCGAGUCCGGGAGAGGUGAGUGGAAUUCCUAGUGGUAGAGGUGAAAGUUCGUAGAUAUUAGGAAGAACACCAGUGGCGAAGGCGGCUCACUGGCCCGGUACUGACGCUGAGGCGCGGAAAGCGUGGGGAGCAAACAGGG